rnacentral:rRNA from 1 species
GAUGAACGCUGGCGGCGUGCCUAAUACAUGCAAGUCGAGCGAACAGAUGAGGAGCUUGCUCCUCUGACGUUAGCGGCGGACGGGUGAGUAACACGUGGAUAACCUACCUAUAAGACUGGGAUAACUUCGGGAAACCGGAGCUAAUACCGGAUAAUAUAUUGAACCGCAUGGUUCAAUAGUGAAAGACGGUUUUGCUGUCACUUAUAGAUGGAUCCGCGCCGCAUUAGCUAGUUGGUAAGGUAACGGCUUACCAAGGCAACGAUGCGUAGCCGACCUGAGAGGGUGGCCGGCCCCCACGGGAACGGAGACCGGGCCAAGCUUCUAGCGGGGGCCGCAGGGGGGAAUCUUCCCGAAAGGGGCGAAAGUUGAAGGGGCCAAGCCGGGGGGAGGAAGAAAGGUGUUCGAACCAAAAAACUUUUUUAUGGGGAAAAAAAAAGUGGGAAAGAAACUUUGCGCGCCUGAAGGGUCCCUAAUAAAAAACCCAGGGCAACCUCGGGC